AAAAAAAGUGAGGAGACAAAGGAAGAGGGAGAGGUAUGCACGAUAUUAAAAAGGAGACGUGAGGCAAGGGAUCAUAAGAAAACUACAUAUGCUAUUCCAAAUGGAAAGCGCAUUCCAUAACACCCGUGGGCAUACCGCCUGAGAAGCCCACGGCGCACUCUGCUGUCACCCAGCUAUGAUACACACCAGCGGCGGAAGAGUGUGAAGCAGGUUGGUUUAUUAAGAGCAGGUUGAUACAUGCAAGGACAGAAUUGUCGCUGCCCUGGACACACUAUGGCCUACAUCUUCAUGGGAGAGAAGUGCUGCUUCUGGGCAGGAAGCAG